UACGGAGGGUGCGAGCGUUGUCCGGAAUCACUGGGCGUAAAGCGCGUGUAGGCGGGAAGGCAAGUCUGCUGUGAAAGCGCCUGGCUUAACCGGGCGAGGUCGGCGGAAACUGCUUACCUGGAGGACGGUAGAGGGGGGUGGAAUUCCCGGUGUAGUGGUGAAAUGCGUAGAGAUCGGGAGGAACACCUGUGGCGAAGGCAGCUCGCUGGGACGUUACUGACGCUGAGACGCGAAAGCGUGGGGAGCAAACAGG
rnacentral:rRNA from 1 species